UACAGAGGUCCCAAGCGUUGUUCGGAUUCACUGGGCGUAAAGGGUGCGUAGGUGGUGAGGUAAGUCGGAUGUGAAAUCUCCGGGCUCAACCCGGAAAUGGCAUCGGAAACUACCUUGCUGGAGGAUUUGAGGGGGGAUUGGAAUACUUGGUGUAGCAGUGAAAUGCGUAGAUAUCAAGUGGAACACCAGUGGCGAAGGCGAAUCCCUGGAAAAUACCUGACACUGAGGCACGAAAGCUAGGGGAGCAAACAGG
rnacentral:rRNA from 1 species